UACGGAGGGUGCAAGCGUUAUCCGGAUUCACUGGGUUUAAAGGGUGCGUAGGAGGGCAGGUAAGUCAGUGGUGAAAUCUCCGAGCUUAACUUGGAAACUGCCGUUGAUACUAUCUGUCUUGAAUAUUGUGGAGGUGAGCGGAAUAUGUCAUGUAGCGGUGAAAUGCUUAGAUAUGACAUAGAACACCAAUUGCGAAGGCAGCUCGCUACACAAAUAUUGACACUGAGGCACGAAAGCGUGGGGAUCAAACAGG
rnacentral:rRNA from 1 species